UGCUGCAGGCCCUCAGUGAUGGAGGUGACAGGUGACAUCCCACAGGUGAGCGCUGACAGCAUGUAUCCAUCAGGACCAAAUGAGCUGGUGAAAUUUCCUUGCUGUGAACGGACAGGGACAAGAGAAGAAACGUUACAGGGAACUGUUGAGGCGAGACUGUUAGAAUACGAGCUUCCACAGGAUGCUGGAUCUGCUGAAGUUGUGUGAGUAUGGAAAAGAGCAGCCAGGAGGACACUCUUCAAAAAUUCACCUUUUCUCUUCCACAAAGGAAAAAAAAAAGUCACCUGGGCUCGGAACCAUGUCGGCAGUGUGAAUUAAUUUUCAUUUUUGGCUGAACUUUUUCUUUAAGCUGUCACUCGAUUAAGGAGUUAGUUACAUUUGUUUUAUUGCCGUG